UUAAGAUGGCACCGGUAAGCAUAUAAGCACACAUAGCACAUAUUACUAGAUGCAGGCUUGAAGGCCACAAUUACUUAGAUAAGCGAUAAUUAACCGCACAAGACUUGGCAUAAGUUCUGGUGGUCCUGAACAGUCUGGCCAACUGCCAGGUCCAUCCAGCUGCUUGUAUCAAGGUCUUUUGCUGGGCUGCACUGAUAAGGAACUACUGUCUGUCCUUGAAGACAGGUAUAUAAGACUAAGGGAAUCUUGCGCUCACUUGGAGAACUACCCACCUGUAAUGCGGACGCGUGUUACUGGUUUCUGCUGUUCCCAGAAGAGAGGGUCUCUCCGAAUGACUGCCUGAGUUCUCCCCAGUCAUGUGUGGCAAGGAGACAACCAAGCUUCUCUAAUGACGAGAAAGCCAAGAUCUCAGAGGCGUCUGUUGAAAAUUCUAACUCACUUUUGGGAUUGGCUACUUGGGCCCAUCAGAAAUGUGGACACUUGGGAGAGAAAGCCACUCACAGGCGAAGCUCAUUGGUCCGGCUGUUAUUGUGAUGACUGUGCUUACUCUACACCCUUUGGUCGGCUCAGAUACCAACAAUGAGAUUGGAGGUUGGGACCAGAGUGAUUCCGCAGAGAUGAGAUGGAAAAAGAUCGAAAUAAGAGUAACCUGCCUGACCAUUAACUGUCCAAACAUGAGAGCGAACCUCUAUGGAGAAGGCUAUUUUAGCCACAAUGAAACUGAGUCAAUUACCUAUAUUAAGUUACCAAAUGAAUCAUUUGGUUUGUUAACGUUAGAAUCUACAACGCCCUUUGGCUGCCGCAUACUGUAUACACCUGUAAGCUCUAAGAGCUUACCCAAUGUUGGGAAAGUUAUGCAAAUCAGCAGAGCACAAAGAGAACCUACACUAUUAUACACUGGUUAGCUAAUGCUACAAAAUACUCCUGGAUAGGAGGGCUUGGGUUGAAAAUAAUAAAAGGUAUUGCAUGGUGUGUUUUUAUUAUACUUUGUAUUUAUCUGUGCUACAAAAUUACAGUUUUCUGCAUUCAAAGCUUUGCUAGCUUAAAAAAAUAAGUCAUAGUGUAGCGCUAGAAGAGUUUUAAUUAGGUUUGAAUCGGUUCCAGGUGUGACUGGAGCAUAAUGGGAAUCAGUGGGUAAAUGGGUUUUCCCCCUGCUGAUAACCUGAAUGGUAUGUGUAAAUGUGUGAGGUUUUGCUCACUGAGUGAUCAAGGGAUGGAAUGUGAUAAUAAUAUUUCAUAUUAAUUAAGUAUGAUUGAUUGAUCACUAUUGAGCAACUCAGACAUUUAUAGAUAGUUAAGAUAGCACCGGUAAGCAUAUAAGCACACAUAGCACAUAUUACUAGAUGCAGGCUUGAAGGCCACAAUUACUUAGAUAAGCGAUAAUUAACCGCACAAGACUUGGCAUAAUUUCUGGUGGUCCUGAACAGUCUGGCCAACUGCCAGGUCCAUCCAGCUGCUUGUAUCAAGGUCUUUUGCUGGGCUGCACUGAUAAGGAACUACUGUCUGUCCUUGAAGACAGGUAUAUAAGACUAAGGGAAUCUUGCGCUCACUUGGAGAACUACCCACCUGUAAUGCGGACGCGUGUUACUGGUUUCUGCUGUUCCCAGAAGAGAGGGUCUCUCCGAAUGACUGCCUGAGUUCUCCCCAGUCACGUGUGGCAAGGAGACAACCAAGCUUCUCUAAUGGUGAUGUAUACUUAAGCUGAUAUAUCUAGGUACUAAGCUGUUUGAAGUAA